rnacentral:rRNA from 1 species
GAGGGUGCGAGCGUUGUCCGGAAUCACUGGGCGUAAAGGGCGCGUAGGUGGCGAUCCAAGUCCAUGGUGAAAGCUCGAUGCUCAACAUCGAGUCGGCCACGGAUACUGGGUUGCUUGAGCACUGUAGGGGCAGAUGGAAUUCCGGGUGUAGCGGUGGAAUGCGUAGAGAUCCGGAAGAACACCGGUGGCGAAGGCGGUCUGCUGGGCAGUUGCUGACACUGAGGCGCGACAGCGUGGGGAGCAAACAGGAUUAGAUACCCUGGUAGUCCACGCCGUAAACGAUGGGCACUAGAUGCUUGGGGGAGCGACCCCCUGAGUGUCGUCGCUAACGCAGUAAGUGCCCCGCCUGGGGAGUACGGCCGCAAGGCUG